AUUGAACGCUGGCGGCAGGCCUAACACAUGCAAGUCGAACGAGUGGCGGACGGGUGAGUAAUGUCUGGGAAACUGCCCGCUGGAGGGGGAUAACUACUGGAACCGGUAUCUAAUACCGCAUACCAUCGGAUGUGCCCAGAUGGGAUUAGCUAGUAGGUGGGGUAACGGCUCACCUAGUAGACGAUCCCUAGCGGGUCUGAGAGGAGGACCAGCCACACGGGAACUGAGACACGGUCGAGACUCCUACGGGAGGCAGCAGUGGGGAAUAUUGCACAAUGGGCGCAAGCCUGAUGCAGCCAUGCCGCGUGUAUGAAGAAGGCCUUCGGGUUGUAAAGUAAUUUCAGCGAGGAGGCGUUACUCGCAGAAGAAGCACCGGCUAACUCCGUGCCAGCAGCCGCGGUAAUAC
rnacentral:rRNA from 1 species